rnacentral:lncRNA from 1 species
AUCUUUAUAUUAUACUAUACUUUAAAAUCAAUUAAUAAUUUAUUUGUUGAAACAUGAAUUAUUAGCAAAUGUCAUCAAUAUUUUGCAUAAUGAUUCUGUCACUUCCGUCUGCUUCUUUCAUUCUUCUACUUCAACUUUCUAUUUUUGUUUUUCAAAUUCAAGUUUAUCUUGUUUGUAUUUUAAUUCUGCAUGUUUCAUUUCUAUAUUAUUUUUAUGUACCAGCAAUUGAGUUUCACUCUCUCUACAACUCUUUUCUGCUAAGUACUGCCAUACACCUUUUGCUUGUUUAUUUCUAUUCUUUGGGGCAGGUUUGGUGUGUUUUCUGAUAACAGUAGAUUCAGCAGAUGAUGAUCAUUCAAUAACUUGUUCAGGUUCUUCUAUUUCAUGAGAUGAGUACAAUUCUGUGGAAUUGAUGUGUGAUAGCUGCAUACUUAUAGUUGGUGCAAACAGAAUUGUGUCCUCUGUUUCAUUAGGUGGUAUGUCAACAUAGUUGCCACCUGUGAAAUAUACUUUUUUCAGAUUAGAAAGUAAUCUAUAAUUUAUAAUGGAACUAACUAACAGCAAGAUUUUAUCAACAAUUUACAAACCUUCAACAAAUAUCUAUUAUAGGUAUUUUUUUUAAGUUUAAUAAAUAUGUUUUAUUCAAUUUAAAUUAAAUUUAAAUUCUUUUCUUUUUCAUAAUGGAACUAUAAAAAUAGAAUAUUCCUAUUUUAAACGAAUUUAUUCCUAUUUUAUUUAAGAAAUACAUACUGUAGAUAUCUGAAUUACCAUCUUCAAUUAUUCCUAAGGCUGCAUCAUGAAUUUUUUUUGCUAUUUCUGCAUCCUUCUGCUUUCUUUUAGAUGCAAUCUUUUGUAAUCUUCCUGACUGGUUUAAUUUUGAUGCAGCAUCUGACUCUAACAAUUGUUCAUAGUUGGGCCAUACAGUCAUGAGUACCCACAUUUUCAAAUCCCCAUUCAAAGUUCAAUCUCUCUCUACCACUUUCUGUUGCUUCAAUGGUAUUGUAUUUUUUAAACUUAUUUACUUGCUCUAUUAAAUUCUCUUUCAAUAAUUACAAGCUACAGAAUUUGAAUCUAAAAAUGAAUACGUUUUACUUAGAUUAUGAUCAGUAUCAGUUUGUCUAUGUCAAAUUCUAUUCUUACCUGGCAGUAUUUUGACAUAAAACAGUAUGUACAUUUUAUCAAAGUUCUUCUUCUGUACUAGCUACAUCUUUGCAUACAUUGUUAAAAAGUUCCUGAAUAGCUUGAAGUCUUUCAGAUUUGGAAAAUCUAAACUGAGACUUCUUCACAACCGCCAUAUUUUCAAGGAGAUCAUGUGACGUGCUGAACAAUUCUUAUUGGAAUUCUUCC